rnacentral:rRNA from 1 species
UGCCUACGGGACGCAGCAGUGGGGGAUAUUGCACAAUGGGGGGAACCCUGAUGCAGCGACGCCGCGUGGGUGAAGAAGCGCCUCGGCGCGUAAAGCCCUGUCAGCAGGGAAGAAAAUGACGGUACCUGAAGAAGAAGCCCCGGCUAACUACGUGCCAGCAGCCGCGGUAAUACGUAGGGGGCAAGCGUUAUCCGGAUUUAUUGGGUUUAAAGGGUGCGUAGGCGGACUGGAAAGUCAGCGGUAAAAUCGAGAGGCUCAACCUCUUUCCGCCGUUGAAACUGUCGGUCUUGA